CUCCGGUUGAUCCCGCCGGACCCGACUGCUAUCGGAAUGGGAUUUAGCCAUGUUAAUCAUGCGUUCCUCGAGUGCGGGGGACGCGGUGUACGGCUCAGUAACACGUAGUCAACCUACCCUAGAGACGCGGACAAACCCGGGAAACUGGGGCUAAUACGCGAUAGGUCAUAUCAUCUGGAAGGAGAUAUGGCCCAAAAGGACGGUGCGGGCUUCUUCCGCAUCAUCCGCUCCAGGAUGGGACUGCGGCCGAUCAGGCUGUUGGCGGGGUAAUGGCCCACCAAACCUGUAACCGGUACGGGCUUUGAGAGAAGGAGCCCGGAGAUGGACACUGAGACAAGGGUCCAGGCCCUACGGGGCGCAUCAGGCGCGAAAACUUCGCAAUGCGCGAAAGCGUGACGAGGCUAUUCCGAGUGUUUUCCGCUUAGGGAGACUUUUCUUAGCUGUAAAUAGGCUGGGGAAUAAGGGGAGGGCAAGUCUGGUGUCAGCCGCCGCGGUAAUACCAGCUCCUCGAGUGGUCGGGACGAUUAUUGGGCCUAAAGCAUCCGUAGCCUGUUCUGUAGGUCUCCUGUUAAAUUCAACCGCUCAACGGUUGGCCCGCAGGAGAUACCGCAGGACUAGGAGGCGGGAGAGGUGGACGGUACUCCGCAGGUAGGGGUAAAAUCCUUUGAUCUGCGGAAGACCACCAGAUCGAUUGCGGGGAGCAUAAAUGUGACGAGCAAAUGAGAAACUAUGAGCAUUCCAAGGCUGUAACAGCAACUUCGCGACCUUCGCGCGAAUGGUUGUGCUCAAUCACGCUCAAAAGCAAGCUCGUCUGCAAGCUCUUCUACAAUCGCGGUGAAUGGCGAAGGCGAUCUGCCAGAACGCGCUCGACGGUGAGGGAUGAAAGCUGGGGGAGCGAACCGGAUUAGAUACCCGGGUAGUCCCAGCCGUAAACGAUGCAAACUCGGUGAUGCAUUGGCU
rnacentral:rRNA from 1 species